CUCUGCCUUAUCUGUAAGCAUGUCAAACAUGCGGCUCGCUGGGCCACAAAGAUAUUCAUUGUGGGCCGCGAGUUUGACAUGCUUGCGCUAAAUCAUAAUGAAUUGAAAUGUAAAUGGUGUAUCUGAAAAUAAAAUAGCUGACUUGAAACAUUCUCUACCACGUAGGCCCCACCGAUGGAUUGGUAACUGUUACCUUUCUUUCAUACUG